CGCAAGUUAGUAUACCCAAUACUUUUAACUUAGGCUUAAAAAACAGAUGUAAGUCUACUUGCAA
rnacentral:tRNA from 1 species